rnacentral:rRNA from 1 species
UAGGGAAUCUUCGGCAAUGGGGGCAACCCUGACCGAGCAACGCCGCGUGAGUGAAGAAGGUUUUCGGAUCGUAAAGCUCUGUUGUAAGAGAAGAACGUGUGUGAGAGUGGAAAGUUCACACAGUGACGGUAACUUACCAGAAAGGGACGGCUAACUACGUGCAGCAGCCGCGGUAAUACGUAGGUCCCGAGCGUUGUCCGGAUUUAUUGGGCGUAAAGCGAGCGCAGGCGGUUUAAUAAGUCUGAAGUUAAAGGCAGUGGCUUAACCAUUGUUCGCUUUGGAAACUGUUAAACUUGAGUGCAGAAGGGGAGAGUGGAAUUCCAUGUGUAGCGGUGAAAUGCGUAGAUAUAUGGAGGAACACCGGUGGCGAAAGCGGCUCUCUGGUCUGUAACUGACGCUGAGGCUCGAAAGCGGGGGGAGCAAACAGG